rnacentral:rRNA from 1 species
GACAGAGGGUGCAAACGUUGUUCGGAAUUACUGGGCGUAAAGCGUGUGUAGGCGGCCGCGUAAGUCGGAUGUGAAAGCCCUGGGCUCAACCCAGGAAGUGCACUCGAUACUGCGUGGCUUGAGUACUGGAGAGGUUGGUGGAAUUCUCGGUGUAGAGGUGAAAUUCGUAGAUAUCGAGAGGAACACCGGUGGCGAAGGCGGCCAACUGGACAGAUACUGACGCUGAGACACGAAAGCGUGGGGAGCAAACAGG